rnacentral:rRNA from 1 species
AUGGAUUGGUAUUCUUGGUGGAAACUCUGUUACCCAAAGAGUGAAGGAGGCAUGGGGUUCAGAGAUCUUUACUCGUUUAAUCUUGCUACGCUGGCCAAACAAUGUUGGAGGCUUAUCACAAAACCUGACUCCCUGUGUGCAAAGGUAUUGAAAGCAAAGUAUUAUCCAAAUGGUAGUUUGCUCCAGGCAGGCUUAAAAAAGGGAGCUUCCUUCACGUGGCAGAGUAUCAUGAAAGGGCUUGAGAUGUUCAAAAAGGGAUACAUUUGGAGGAUUGGAACGGGAGAGGAUGUUAACACAUGGAAUGACCCAUGGAUUCCGUCAAGUCCGGACCAGAAAAUAAUUACACCCAGAGGGUAAACGGUGUUAACCAGUGUAAAUGAUCUUAUUGACCCACAUACUGGUUCUUGGGAUGAAGAGCUCAUAAGGACUAUUUUUAAUCCAGUUGAUAUCCGCAGGAUUCUACAAAUCCCGUUGAGCAACCAAGGAUUCGAUGAUUUUAUAGCCUGGCAUGGAGACAGAAGAGGUAUUUUUACCGUUCGCUCGGCCUAUCAUAUACAACACUACUAG